GAUGAACGCUGGCGGCGUGCCUAAUACAUGCAAGUCGAGCGAACGGACGAGAAGCUUGCUUCUCUGAUGUUAGCGGCGGACGGGUGAGUAACACGUGGAUAACCUACCUAUAAGACUGGGAUAACUUCGGGAAACCGUAGCUAAUACCGGAUAAUAUUUUGAACCGCAUGGUUCAAAAGUGAAAGACGGUCUUGCUGUCACUUAUAGAUGGAUCCGCGCUGCAUUAGCUAGUUGGUAAGGUAACGGCUUACCAAGGCAACGAUGCAUAGCCGACCUGAGAGGGUGAUCCGCCACACUGGAACUGAGACACGGUCCAGACUCCUACGGGAGGCAGCAGUAGGGAAUCUUCCGCAAUGGGCGCAAGCCUGACGGAGCAACGCCGCGUGAGUGAUGAAGGUCUUCGGAUCGUAAAACUCUGUUAUUAGGGAAGAACAUAUGUGUAAGUAACUGUGCACAUCUUGACGGUACCUAAUCAGAAAGCCACGGCUAACUACGUG
rnacentral:rRNA from 1 species